ensembl:lncRNA
GUGUGUGUGUGUGUGUGUGUGUGUGUGUGUGUGUGUGUGUGUGUGUGUGUGUCGGAAGAUUUUUGAGCAUCGCUAGGGUUCUACUGUGGGUGGAUGGGUGUGUCACACCUGGCAUGGGGUUCUACGUGUGUGUUUCCGGCUUGCUUUGACAGUGAUAAUGUUCAUACGGGGGUCUGUGAUUGGCUUGGGAUAUUGGAAUGGUCAACUAAAUCAUACCUGAUGGACGGCCACACGUUUACUCAAGGGCCUCCAGUAGACAUGAAGAGCCCUGAGCGACGCUCCGGAGCGAUAUCAACACACUGGGCAGGAAGGAGAGUAUCAAACUCGAGUGUAAAAGGAUGCAAGCGGCGUGUUCAGAUCAGUGACUUCAAACUAGGACUACACCAAUCAGGAUCAAUGGAGGAUGGACCCCAAAAGGAAUUCCACAAGGAGAGUCUGACGUUGGAAAGGGACCUAAAUGGAUAUUCAAGAUGACCUUCAGACCUGUAAUGAGAUGGCUCUUCCUACCUGGCUGGAUUGAUGGAGAGCCCUGUGGAUCUUGUCUUGCUCUCAGUUGCACGUCUUCUCAGGCUGAACUGUAUUUGUUUCGGACAGGACUAGCUGAACGAUUGGUUCCCUUAAAUCCGAACCAAUCCGGGAACUCCAGCUAGUGCGCUCUUCGAGCUGAAGUUGUGUUCUUCAGCUGAGGAGGUAAGGAAACCUUCGCUGGGGCUUCAAGGUGUAAAGAGGAGAAUGUUUCAAAGUGUUCCAUGGUACUCUGAUGAAGACCGUUGUGUUCCACUGGCUGAGAGGAAGAACCCACCCAUCUUCCUCUUGGCCUUUCUCCUGAGAAUCCUGGCGCUAUCUUGUAGGAUAUUCCAGCUCAUGUAACUGAUGUCACGACAGAUUCUCAAACACUUGUUUUCUCCUGAGGGGCAUGUCUAUAGAACUGAAGACUUCAGACAGCACUGUAUCCCAGUAUGCAUCUCUGCUCACUCAGAGCACACCCCCAUGAGUAGGAUGCAACACUCUAGUGAUGGCGAUGUAGAGUUUUAUAAGUAACGAGGGAGCAGACUAAGGUGAUUAGAACACAAUGUAAUGUCAAGUCUGUAAAUCUUUAAACCAUGAAGAUGGUUGGAUAGUUCAGGAAUCGGUUUCUUUUUAUUAUGGGCAGUCCUUUCACUCAGAUGCCCACUUCUCACUGGAGCUGUAUAUGUGUUGGCUGGCUGGCAUGAUUUGCUGUUGGUGAUGAGGCGGUCAGGGUGACGUUGCAGGGCUAUGGUCGGCUCUCUGUGAGCUCAACGUUUAGAUUUGCUCUGUGUGGUUUGUACCCUGAAUAAUCUAGAUAAUUGUAAAAUGUAGACGCGGUUUUGUAUUGAAUUGACUCCAGGAUUUUAGGUUUAAAGUUGUUGUGGGACGUACAUGGUAGUUUGGUUCUUCGUAUGGUUUUGAGUGAUAUAACUUGUACACACUGGGUGCAUAAUAAUGUAAAGUUACACUGAAUAGUAGUAUUGACCAACAGCAACAAACAGAUCUCCUCAAGGUAAGUCUGUUGGCUGUGUUUUAAUGAAGACCAUCGCUGGACUUCAGGAUCUUCCUCCGUUCAGCUCAAGGUGAGGCGCUGGUUCUGUUUUUUCUUUGGUUGGUUCCGGCCGGAAUGUUCGGAUUCCAGUCGGACGGUUCGUGCUUCCCGCCGUGGAAGGUUCUGAGUGCGGUCACUUGAUUUAGUCCCAAUGGUUAGCAUAGAACGUUGUAGUCUUGACAACCAUAAGAAACCACCUGGCAGUUAGUUGGACAUGAGUCCCCUGAGGGAAUCUGGCGAACGUUCUGGAUUGUAUUUGCGUAACCUCGAGCCGUUGCCAACGGAAACUAUUUUUCAGUCGGUUUCUAUUGGGAAUUGUUGCCCCUAUCUUAAACAACUUAAGUUUGAUAUUAAAUACAUACUGAGACAUACGUCGUACAAUAUAUUGAUAAUUUCCGAUGGUUGCGCCGUACUUUUAACCACGAUGACGUGACGGGACUCUCACUGCGUACAAAACGGCGAUCUACUUGCGGGCCCAUUUUUGACAUCCGGGAAGGCUGAAAAUCAUUUCAAGGUGGAAGAUGAUUUUGACAUUUCUUCAACGGAACCCAGCACCUGAAUAUGGCUGAGUAUGUUUGAUUUAAUAUCGAUACUGCUUGGUGUUCUUUGUUACUUCAGCUUUUGUACGUUCUAAAUAUCUGCUGUCAUUAAUUGCCACAGAAGUUAAACCCUAACCAAUGGAAUGACGUUAAACAACGACUUUGGUGCAGAGUUACCAACUGGAUAAUAUCAAAGCUAAAAUAAUUGCCGUCAUUCCCACAUGUUACAGUAGAAGAUACUCUAGAACUGUACAAGGUUAAAAAUGUAACAUGUAGUUUGUCCCAAGGUGUCUGCCUCCUCACCUAAAGCAAGACCUCCACCUCCUCACCCAGAGCCAGACCUCCACCUCCUGUCAGAAGUCCUCCAGAACAGCUGAAAGGCGAGGCUGAGAGGCUGGGGACCGGAGGCUUGUGGUGCCAGGGUGGACCGGAGACUGAGGCUGGAGACCAGGGGCCUGCAGCACCGGACCAGAGGUGAACCUCAGAUGCAGGAGGCUGGGAUGCGUUUCGUCCCCAGGUGAUUUACUGCUGAGACAACUGUUUGUAACCAGACCAGGAAUCCAUGGCUGAAGGAGCUGAUGGAGGAGUCGUGCUGAAGGCCCUGCCUGGUGGAGGAGCUGGUGGAGGCCCUGCCUGGUGAAGGACGGCUGUCGUGGGACCAGGACUCUGUCUGAGGAGAGCUGCUGGAGGAGCUGAGACGCUGGAGGACGACUAGGAAUCGACCAACAAGGAUUCCUCAACGUGUUUCUGGAGCGGAGGCGAGCUGGUAGGGGAGCCGUGAAUCUGGAGGAUGACCAUCACUCUACCAACAAGGAUUACCAGGACUCUGAUGGAGGAGAGCUGAUGGAGGAGCCAAGACUCUGGAGGAUGACAUCACUCCACCAACCAGGAUCCUCACGAAUUACGUUUGCAAGCAGACCAGGAAUCUGGAGGACUGAUGGAGAAGCCGUACAUCUGGAAGGCAAAUCCUGAGGACCACCAGGACUCUACCGUCAAGGAUCUGGACAUAGUGGACCAGACACACCUGAGCUGAACCUCACCUGAUCCUGUUUGGUCUGGGCAGACACCCCUGAGCUGAACCUCACCUGAUCCUGUUUGGUCGGGGGUAGACACACCCGAGCUAAACCCGCCCUGAUCCUGACAUCCUGCUGGUCCCGUCUCCUCAGUUCAUCUGAGCCUCGUCCUCCAGAAGACCUGCUGAGCUCAGCAGUCUGAGGCUGAUGGAUCAAUGACCUCCAGUGGGAGUGAUCCUCUUGACCCCACAUGUAACUGUGUGCUUCCACACGCCUUUCCCUCACAUCUGUCACUAACCUCACUACUUCACAACUCUCUACUGCUUCCUCUUUUCGUCCUUCUCUGUGGUUCAAACCUUAACACUGAAGGCGCGUCUUCCUGCCCUCGGAGGGUUUAGCGUUAGGGUUGAGAGUCAGGGUUUAGAGUCAGGGACAGAGCUGGUCAGGGAGGACUGCUUUUACACAAACCUCUUCACUUGCUUUCGGAAUGGUGGUGACAUUUUGAAAAGAUUAAAUUUGGGAAACUGUUUUCCUCUGCUUUCCUUUACAAAAUUGUAUUAAACUUCUGUCAAGUGUUUUUGUUUAUACAUUAAAAUCCCACAUUGACUUCUACAUGUUUGAUGUGGUUCAUUUAAUUGUCCUUUAACUUGGUUAAGGUCAAGCUACACUCCUGCAAUUCCAUUUAAUCAUGAUUGGCAUUCAGCAAUGUUCACAUAAUCCAUUUUGUAAAAAU